UUAAUAGUAAAGUCUGCUCAAUGAAAUUUUCAAUAGCCGCAAUUCGUGCUAAGGUAGCGUAAUCAUUUGUCUUUUAAAUGGAGACCUGUACAAAAGACUUAACAUCUUAAUUAAUUUUUUUAUUUAAAUAUUUUAACUUAUUUUAAAAGUUAUAAAACUUUUAUUAAUAAAAUAGACGACAAGACCCUAUUGAACUUAACUUUAGUUAAACUGGGGCAGUAAAUUAAUUAUUAUUUUAAUAUAAAUAUUUAUUUAAAAAGCCUAAUAAUUGAUAAAUCAGUUACCAUAGGGAUAACAGCAUAAUUUUAUUUUAAAGAUCUUAUUAAAAAUAAAGAUUAUGACCUCGAUGUUGAAUUAAUAACCUAAAUAAAGCAAAAUUUAUAAUAGGAAGUCUGUUCGACUUUUAAAUAAUUACAUGAUUUGAGUUCAGACCGGUACAAGCCAGGUCGGUUUCUAUCUUUUAAAAAUAUUUUUGUAGUACGAAAGGACCUAAAAAUUAAAUUUCAUUUAUAAAAUUGGCAGAAUAAUGCAUUAGAAUUAGAAUCUAAUUAACU
rnacentral:rRNA from 1 species